CAUGAAUAUUCAUUUUUGGUAAAGUUUCUUUUUUGGGGGAAAGUUGAAUUAAUACUUCUGGUUGUUGCAAACAUGAGGCUUGUGUUUUCUUUCUACCUUUAGUUACUUUUAAAGAAAUUUAAAGGUAACAAAAACCAUGUGAGAUAUUUUGCACAGUUCUAAAACACAUAGUAAUGCUUUAGUUCACUGUGCUUAAUUUAACUGGAUUUCUUCUUACUAACCUGAGGUACUUGUACAAUUUGACAAGCCCCUUGGGAAAUAUAUAUAUACCUCUUAUCUCUUACUGGUAUCUUACCUCUUAGUACCAGUACACCUCUUAACGGUGGUAGUCACAAUAUCCAUAUUUUUGCCCAUUCUUACUUUCUCUUGCCCUUCCCGUGCCCUUGUAGUACUUCCCCCACCCUGUUGGAGCACCUACCGCAACGCACACUGGAACAAGGUAGCUCCUUAUUUCCCUUGACUGCUGAGCUCGAGUAGGAAAGCUGGAGCUUUAAAGUCCUGCUGACCUGAGUUUAAUACUUUCUGUGCUUUGUUGUAGUUUGUGAACUCACAAGCACUUCAUCUCUCUGAGUCUCAAGUUUAGUUACCCUUCCAAUCACCUGUAUCAGGCAGCCAUGAGGAGUAAAGCAGCUCCCCCAGCGUGUGGCAGGCCAGAUGCAACACAGCUUGCUGACUUAGUUGUAUUGGAGUUUGUUAGAGAUUAUUAAAUCUAAUAUCUGUGUGAUGAUUAUAGAUGAUUAUAUUUCUAUGCUAAGAUACAAUUUUUCAACUUGGGAAAAUGUUUAUGGUAUUAUGAAGUAUAAAAGAACACAAAGUUAUACACUAUACUCAAAACUAAAAACUAUAAAAAAAACUAUGACAACAUGUUAAUACACUUCUGUCUUUGGCAAAAAUUUAAUUUUUUUCUUUCCUUUCAUUUUUCUAUAAUUUCCAAAUAUUAUAAAAUGAACACGACUAUUAUAUAGUAUUACAAAUUAUAUAACAUUAUUGUAACAUUAUUAUAUCUCCUAAUUUAAGGUGCUUUUUAUAUUUCAAAGAUUCCUAUAGAAGUGAAUAGCAUCCUAGAUUCAUAGUUACCCUCUCUUGUCAUAGAAGACCUUAAUUUCAGACUUCACUUAUUUUGUUUAAGUUUCCUUCUGUCAGAUUGCUGUUACUUAUGGGCUAUUGAGUUGGUGAUUAGAUUGCCUGAUUUUAUCUCUGAAGGCUUUAAGACUUGGCUACAUCUAGCAAGCCUAAGGACAGAUUGCUCUAAUUUAGUAUUCAGUAAUUCAGGUCUUUAUGGAUGAAAUUCCAUAUAAAGAACAGCAUUUGGUUUCCCCAUUGUUUUGUUUUGCUUGUGAUGGAGCAAUGCAAAAUUUCGGUGUGCUUUUUUGUUUACAAACCACAUGUGGGACUGUGAGGAGAAGCUGUAUUUUCAGUGUUGUCCAAGGGAUAGUGCUUUCAGUUCCCACAUAAUUCAUUUAUUUAGCAAAUAUCUACAUGUUCUAGGUAACAAGGAAACAGCAGUACGUAAAACUAAGACUGCUCUCAGGGAGCUUACCUUCAGGAAUUGGGAGGACUUUUGUUAAUAAAAAUAUCUGGUCAACAUGUAGAAUUACAUCUUUUAGUUAACCAGAUAAUCUUGACAAGGGAAAAAUGUAUUAAGUAAAAUGUUUACUGUUUGAACAAUAUUUUUAAAUAGUAAUAAAUUCAAUAAAUAAAAAUACUAGAAAACCAUAGUAAAACCAGUUCUAACUUUUUGAAGGUCUAUAAGGUAUGCUUGUAUUCACUGCACAAAUUGUGAUGCUCAAUGUGCUGAUGAAUCGUGAAAAUGUCAACACAGAGUUCCACAUGAAAGAAUGUCAUCCACUUACAGUUAUUCAACACCAUCAUCAUCUCUCUCUCUCUCUC